rnacentral:rRNA from 1 species
GGAAACGACUGCUAAUACCCAAUGUGCCGCAAGGUGAAACCUAAUUGGCCUGGAGAAGAGCUUGCGUCUGAAUAUCUAGUUGGUGGGGUAAGGGCCUACCAAGGCGACGAUUAGUAGCUGGUCUGAGAGGAUGAGCAACCACACUGGGACUGAAACACGGCCCAAACUCCUACGGGAGGCAGCAGUGAGGAAUUUUCCUCAUUGGGCAAAAGCCUGACGGAACAACGCCGCGAGGGGGAGGAAGGUCUUUGGAUUGUAAACCUCUUUUCUCGAGGAAGAAGUUCUGACGGUACUUGAGGAAUCAGCCUCGGCUAACUCCGUGCCAGCAGCCGCGGUAAUACGGGGGAGGCAAGCGUUAUCCGGAAUUAUUGGGCGUAAAGCGUCCGCAGGUGGUCAGCCAAGUCUGCCGUCAAAUCAGGUUGCUUAACGACCUAAAGGCGGUGGAAACUGGCAGACUAGAGAGCAGUAGGGGUAGCAGGAAUUCCCAGUGUAGCCGUGAAAUGCGUAGAGAUUGGGAAGAACAUCGGUGGCGAAAGCGUGCUACUGGGCUGUAUCUGACACUCAGGGACGAAAGCUAGGGGAGCAAAAGGGAUUAAAUACCCCUGUAGUCCUACCCGUAAACGAUGGAUACUAGGCGUGGCUUGUAUCUACCCGAGCCGUGCCGAAGCUAACGCGUUAAGUAUCCCGCCUGGGGAGUACGCACGCAAGUGUAAAACUCAAAGAAAUUGACGGGGGCCCGCAAAAGGGGUGGAGUAUGUGGUUUAAUUCGAUGCAACGCGGAGAACCCUCCCACGACUUGACAUGUCGCGAACCCUGGUGAAAGCUGGGGGUGCCUUCGGGAGCGCAAACACAGGUGGUGCAUGGCUGUGGUCAGCUCGUUUCGUGAGAUGUUGGGUUAAGUCCCGCAACGAGCGCAACCCUCGUUCUUAGUUGCCAGCAUUAAGUUGGGGACUUUAAGGAGACUGCCGGUGACAAACCGGAGGAAGGUGGGGAUGACGUCAAGUCAGCAUGCCCCUUACGUCUUGGGGGACACACGUACUACAAUGGUCGGGACAAAGGGC